UUUCCAUAGGUGAACCUGCGGAAGGAUCAUUACCGAAUUGUCAACAAGAGUUGUUGCUGGUCCUCAAAUGGGGGCAUGUGCACGCUCUGUUCACACAUCCACUCACACCCUGUGCACCCUCUGUGGUUCUAUGGUCAGGGGGCCUGUGCCCUCCUGCUGUGGUUCUGCAUCUUUACACACACACACUGUAACAAAGUCUCAUGGAAUGUAUGCCGCGUUUAACGCAAUAUAAUACAACUUUCAGCAACGGAUCUCUUGGCUCUC
rnacentral:misc_RNA from 1 species